rnacentral:tRNA from 1 species
GGAAGUGCUUGUACGCCUGGUGGCGGCCCCGGUCUUCAAAACCGGCGGGCGGCGAGUCAACCUUGUCGCCGGUGGGUUCGAUUCCCAUGCACUUCCGC